rnacentral:rRNA from 1 species
UACGUACUGUGCGAACGUUAUUCGGAAUCACUGGGCUUAAAGGGUGCGUAGGCGGUCAUUUAAGUAGGGUGUGAAAUCCCCCGGCUCAACCGGGGAACUGCGCUCUAAACUGGAUGGCUUGAGUAAGAUAGGGGUGUGCGGAACUUCCGGUGGAGCGGUGAAAUGUGUUGAUAUCGGAAGGAACACCAGUAGCGAAAGCGGCACACUGGGUCUUAACUGACGCUGAGGCACGAAAGCUAGGGUAGCGAACGGG